GGCUCAGAACGAACGCUGGCGGCGUGCCUAACACAUGCAAGUCGAGCGAGAAAGUCCCCGCAAGGGGAUGAGUAAAGCGGCGAACGGGUGAGUAACACGUGGGCAACCUGCCCUUCAGUCAGGAAUAACCCCGCGAAAGCGGGGCUAAUACCGGAUUACGUCCUUUGGGGGCAUCCUUGGAGGACCAAAGGGGGCGAGCGCAAGCGGCUCCCGCUGAAGGAUGGGCCUGCGGCUGAUUAGCUAGUUGGUGGGGUAGCGGCCUACCAAGGCGACGAUCAGUAGCCGACCUGAGAGGGUGACCGGCCACACUGGGACUGAGACACGGCCCAGACUCCUACGGGAGGCAGCAGUGGGGAAUAUUGCGCAAUGGGCGAAAGCCUGACGCAGCGACGCCGCGUGGGUGAUGAAGGCCUUCGGGUCGUAAAACCCUGUCGGGUGGAACGAAUCUCCACCUCGCUAAUACCGAGGUGGCUUGACGGUACCACCGAAGGAAGCCCCGGCUAACUACGUGCCAGCAGCCGCGGUAAUACGUAGGGGGCGAGCGUUGUUCGGAUUUACUGGGCGUAAAGAGCGCGUAGGCGGUUCGAUUAGUCGGAGGUGAAAUCCCUCGGCUUAACCGAGGACCCGCGUCCGAUACUGUCGAACUUGAGUGCAGGAGAGGAGAGCGGAAUUCCCAGUGUAGCGGUGAAAUGCGUAGAUAUUGGGAGGAACACCGGUGGCGAAGGCGGCUCACUGGACUGUCACUGACGCUGAGGCGCGAAAGCUAGGGGAGCAAACGGGAUUAGAUACCCCGGUAGUCCUAGCCGUAAACGAUGGGCACUAGGUGUGGGAGGUAUCGACCCCUUCCGUGCCGCAGCUAACGCAUUAAGUGCC
rnacentral:rRNA from 1 species